rnacentral:misc_RNA from 1 species
AACGCACCUUGCGCCUCUUGGUAUUCCGAGAGGCAUGCCUGUUUGAGUGUCUUAUAAAAUCAAUCCCCACGGGUUUCUUACCUGGCGGUGGACUUGGAGUUGGGCUCUGCCGGUCACACGGCUCGCCUUAAAGACCUUAGUGGGACCAAUGGCCCAUGGCUUGACGUAAUAAGUUUCGUCUCGCUCGGCUGUCGGCGUCUGCUCACAACCCGCCCUCGGGCAACUACUUUAUGCUAGACCUCAAAUCAGGUAGGACUACCCGCUGAACUUAA